GGAGAGAAUGGUGUGGUGGGCCAUAGAAGUGGGCCCACAUCCAGCAUCUGACCCUUUACCUUGCCGCCGUUGUGCCCAGUCGGCCAUGCCUCGGUGAGCCGGCUGCUGCUUCGCCGGCGGCGCGGCGCUUCCGCCCUCCCCUCGCUGGUGACCUGCUCGUGCGGCGGGCGAGAUUCCUCUCGGCCACAGAUCCGAUUGGUAUCGUCGGGACCCGUCUUCCGGGGCCAUCCCCCUCUUCGCGAACCUGCGACCGCCAGGCUCCUCGACCUCGGGCACGAUCUGGUCGCCUGGUCGCCAUCGCUGAGGUCGAUGUACGGAGGCAUGGCAUGUCUGUGUGUUGGGCAUUUGAGGUUUAGAGGACAGCAUCCUCGAUGUGCUUGGAGGUCCUGUUUAUUGAGUUCUACCUACUUCGAGGGCAGUUGACUUGUAAGAACACCGGAGCCAUCUAUUCUGAUUUUAAAGGUCCAUUCAACCUGUCAAAGAGCAGCAAAAGAAAUGUGCCACAGGCUUGUGACAGAUACAACUUAGCCAGGAGAUUUCUCUCUGUCUGUGCGCACAAAUUGCUAUGGCUUAUCAGCAUCUGCUACGCGCUUGCCCCAUGCAUUCUGUUGGCAAUGGCUUAUUGUUGUGUGGUGACAAGUGAUGCUUAGAAGAAUUUCAUAUGAUGGUAUGGAUCACUUGCAUAUUGAGGAAUCAGGCUAUGUAUGCCAGGGACUGUAGUUUUUGUAUAAAUUUUUCUCAGCCGUGGAGAAUCUGCAGGGAGCGGUGCAGGACGCAGCUAGCUCUUCGUCGCACUCGGCAACCAUCUUCUCCGAGCAGGCGCAUCAGGUCCUUGUGCCCAGGGCGCUGGGUAUACUUUCCUAUUUUUUUUUCAACUUGGAUCUCCCAUUUCAGCUCAAUACUCUCUUGCUUGUAUUGAUAUGGUUUUGUGCUGACUUUGCAAUUACUCCAAUUGCACUCGAUUUGUGCCAUAUAGGUACCAUCUGUAAUAACUAAACUGCAAUUAGAUUUAUUCACAAAAGGUUGUCCGGGUUUGAUAGGAUAAUUUGUUAUGUCCUGUGAAAACCCUACCAAUUGAGUGAUUGCUCAAUAGCUCGAAGAAGAGGAUAGUAACCUGUAUCUGUGGAAUUUCUUUGGGUUAUCAUGUAUUUCUAGAAGAGGAUAUAAAUUAUAAAGAACAUCAUAGGCAAGUUCCUUUCCAAAUGAUACAGUUAAAUAGUUAAUGAUUACCAAGCCCCAAGUAGUUACA